ensembl:lncRNA
GCGGUGAAGGACGAUUCUACUGGCACCUGAAGAUCCAUUUUCCUCAAAGCGAUGCAGUUUAUUCAGAGAGGUGUCCUGAUAACCGGCAGCUCGAUCAGAUUCUCAACGACUACAUUCAUCCUUCAGAAUCAGAUCCAGUCAAACGGCAGAAAGCGUUCCAAUGUUGUCCAAUGUGUUGCAUCAGCGAACGUCACCAGAACAUCAUGUUCCCUGGCUGAACCACGUUCAGAAGCUCUUGUGCAUGUGGCGAAGAAGCCAAAAGUCUCAGAGGACGAUGAGCUGGAGGACGGAGAGAUUCAAAGAGAAGAAGAGGAUGGAAACACUGAAGAUGAUGACGGUGUCAGUGGUGACGCAGAAAAUAAACUACCUGCAAUGCAUCCUGAUGGAAAUGAUGACAGUGAUGAAGAAGAGGUGGAGAUGAAGAACUGUUCUUAUAACAGUGUUCGGGACGCUCAGGCAGAUGACGGUAACCAAAACAAAGUGGUUUCAGUGAACAUCACCAGCAAAACUGAAGAAAUAAUGAUGGUUUCUCAAGAUCCUGAAGAAGAUGACUGUCACUGAGACUGUCACUGAUGAUGGUAGAAGGCUGUGUGGAGACGAUAAGUUGGACAUUUCACCUCAAGGCUGUGAAAAAAACAUUCAUUCCAAUGCUGGACUUCCAGAAGUUCAUGGUGUUCAAGACAAAAAACUGUGAUAAUGGUGCAAAGCAUGACAAAGAAAGAAAGACUGACACCCAGCGUGACUCCUGCAUCGCCAAAAGUCAGAGUUCAGAUUCAAGUCAGAUUGAAGGCCAUUAAAACGCUGAUAUGCAGUGGAAGUGAAAAUCAGGGUAAUAUAUGAAAGUGUAGGAGACAAACGUCCUAAUGUUUAUCCGACGUUAACGGUCCUGUUAUCCAGCAGACUAUGACAAUCAGACAAUAGCAGAUAAGGCUUCAGAUCAAGAGAAAAGCAAUAAGCGUUGCCGAGGCAACGGCAUGUUUUGGCGACUGAUAUGUUUUGAGCGCUGAUAAGUGAUAUCAGACAAGACACGCCACUGUGUUCAUGGAGACGGACAAACGCGGAAACAUUCCUCAUAGAGCUCACGCUGUUGUUUGCCUCAGAAUAUGAGGGUAAAACAUGACAUUUGAUUUCUGUUAUCAUUGAUUUUUCGUUUCACAUUUAUUUUAAUAAACUUCUG